rnacentral:lncRNA from 1 species
GGGUCUUCCCUUUCUUGCUUACUCUUUCACUCUUUCUAGAGAAGUUUGGAUUAAGUUGGUUUAAAACUAGUCUUGUUUAAUCGAUCUCGAAGAGAAAUUUUUUUUGUGUGUCUCACUUGCUCUAAAUGUAAUAGUUUUGUCCCCAACGUUAAAUCAAGAGCGUGGAUGAGCAGAAUAGGGUCCUAAAGCCCAACAAAUGGGGCAAACUCCAAUACAACAAAGUGCAAUUUCAAAUCUUUUAAAAACUACUCUUGUCUUAGGAGUGGUGACUGAAGAGUUGCUGGAACGAUCAAGCAAUGAAAAAGAUGCCCCACAGAAAGUGAUCUGCCUUUAUUCUACUUUGCUUAUCGAGACAGUAAAAAAGAAAGCCAAACAGGGACCUGCGCGGAAACGCACAGAUUCAAUUUUGAGGAAUUUUCAGCUAGAGGAACCCAAGACCUUCUAUACCAACAAUUUCUGGGGAGGUAGUUGGUAA